rnacentral:lncRNA from 1 species
GGGAAUAUGGUGGUUGUUGCCUUGGCAACAGGUGUUCGGGUCUCGCCUAUGUGAUGUCAGGGGUUUCGGAGGUCCUAAUACCAACAACUAGCAUCUCCAUUGAAAUACUUAUAUAUGCAACAACAAGAUGUCUGUGGUUUCAAACCAAUCAUGAAGGGAGCUGAGGUGCCAGGAAGCUGACAACUUUACACUCUCGAUGCUCCUGAGUCUACAAGCUAAGAGAGGGGUGAAUAACCCAGUGUGUGUCACUGCUGCUGUUGUCAUCCUUCACUGACACCAGACUCCAGCUUCUUCAGAUUCCAACAAGACUCCAGGAAUCUUCUGUAGACCAGAUUGGGAUAGCGAAGGAAAACAGAUGUGUGGACUGAAGUGAUAUCUGCUUCUCAGCCUCUCCACUCUAAAGAUGGACAUUUUGAUUACCUGGUAUAUAUCUUGUGAGCCAAUGUAGUGAAUCUUUGUUCAUAACGUGUAUGUAUUCUAUUGGUUCGUUUCCUUUAGAGAACCCCAUACAAUGCAAAUAUUGAAUAAAAAAUAGCUCAUUGGAA